rnacentral:rRNA from 1 species
AAGACGGUCUUGCUGUCACUUAUAGAUGGAUCCGCGCUGCAUUAGCUAGUUGGUAAGGUAACGGCUUACCAAGGCAACGAUGCAUAGCCGACCUGAGAGGGUGAUCGGCCACACUGGAACUGAGACACGGUCCAGACUCCUACGGGAGGCAGCAGUAGGGAAUCUUCCGCAAUGGGCGAAAGCCUGACGGAGCAACGCCGCGUGAGUGAUGAAGGUCUUCGGAUCGUAAAACUCUGUUAUUAGGGAAGAACAUAUGUGUAAGUAACUGUGCACAUCUUGACGGUACCUAAUCAGAAAGCCACGGCUAACUACGUGCCAGCAGCCGCGGUAAUACGUAGGUGGCAAGCGUUAUCCGGAAUUAUUGGGCGUAAAGCGCGCGUAGGCGGUUUUUUAAGUCUGAUGUGAAAGCCCACGGCUCAACCGUGGAGGGUCAUUGGAAACUGGAAAACUUGAGUGCAGAAGAGGAAAGUGGAAUUCCAUGUGUAGCGGUGAAAUGCGCAGAGAUAUGGAGGAACACCAGUGGCGAAGGCGACUUUCUGGUCUGUAACUGACGCUGAUGUGCGAAAGCGUGGGGAUCAAACAGGAUUAGAUACCCUGGUAGUCCACGCCGUAAACGAUGAGUGCUAAGUGUUAGGGGGUUUCCGCCCCUUAGUGCUGCAGCUAACGCAUUAAGCACUCCGCCUGGGGAGUACGACCGCAAGGUUGAAACUCAAAGGAAUUGACGGGGACCCGCACAAGCGGUGGAGCAUGUGGUUUAAUUCGAAGCAACGCGAAGAACCUUACCAAAUCUUGACAUCCUUUGACAACUCUAGAGAUAGAGCCUUCCCCUUCGGGGGACAAAGUGACAGGUGGUGCAUGGUUGUCGUCAGCUCGUGUCGUGAGAUGUUGGGUUAAGUCCCGCAACGAGCGCAACCCUUAAGCUUAGUUGCCAUCAUUAAGUUGGGCACUCUAAGUUGACUGCCGGUGACAAACCGGAGGAAGGUGGGGAUGACGUCAAAUCAUCAUGCCCCUUAUGAUUUGGGCUACACACGUGCUACAAUGGACAAUACAAAGGGCAGCGAAACCGCGAGGUCAAGCAAAUCCCAUAAAGUUGUUCUCAGUUCGGAUUGUAGUCUGCAACUCGACUACAUGAAGCUGGAAUCGCUAGUAAUCGUAGAUCAGCAUGCUACGGUGAAUACGUUCCCGGGUCUUGUACACACCGCCCGUCACACCACGAGAGUUUGUAACACCCGAAGCCGGUGGAGUAACCUUUUAGGAGCUAGCCGUCGAAGGUGGGACAAAUGAUUGGGGUGAAGUCGUAACAAGGUAGCCGU